rnacentral:rRNA from 1 species
UACGUAGGCAGCGAGCGUUGUUCGGAAUUACUGGGCGUAAAGAGUGUGUAGGCGGUGCUCUAAGUCUGUCGUGAAAUCUCCCGGCUUAACUGGGAGGGUGCGGCGGAAACUGGUGUGCUCGAGGGUGGGAGAGGUAAGCGGAAUUCCUGGUGUAGCGGUGAAAUGCGUAGAUAUCAGGAGGAACACCUGCGGUGUAGACAGCUUACUGGACCAUUUCUGACGCUGAGACACGAAAGCGUGGGUAGCAAACAGG